rnacentral:rRNA from 1 species
GACAGAAGGUGCAAGCGUUACUCGGAAUUACUGGGCGUAAAGCGUCUGUAGGUGUCCUUCCACGUCUGGAUUUAAAUUGCGGAGCUCAACUCCGCAUCUGAUCUGGAAACGAGAAGGAUCGAGUCAUUCAGAGGCAUCUGGAAUGUCGUGUGUAGGGGUAAAAUCCGUAGAUACGCGAUGGAACGCCAAAAGCGAAGGCAGGGUGCUAGGAAUGUACUGACACUCAGAGACGAAAGCGUGGGGAGCAAAGGGG